GCAGUCGAACGAACUCUGGUAUUGAUUGGUGCUUGCAUCAUGAUUUACAUUUGAGUGAGUGGCGAACUGGUGAGUAACACGUGGGAAACCUGCCCAGAAGCGGGGGAUAACACCUGGAAACAGAUGCUAAUACCGCAUAACAACUUGGACCGCAUGGUCCGAGCUUGAAAGAUGGCUUCGGCUAUCACUUUUGGAUGGUCCCGCGGCGUAUUAGCUAGAUGGUGGGGUAACGGCUCACCAUGGCAAUGAUACGUAGCCGACCUGAGAGGGUAAUCGGCCACAUUGGGACUGAGACACGGCCCAAACUCCUACGGGAGGCAGCAGUAGGGAAUCUUCCACAAUGGACGAAAGUCUGAUGGAGCAACGCCGCGUGAGUGAAGAAGGGUUUCGGCUCGUAAAACUCUGUUGUUAAAGAAGAACAUAUCUGAGAGUAACUGUUCAGGUAUUGACGGUAUUUAACCAGAAAGCCACGGCUAACUACGUGCCAGCAGCCGCGGUAAUACGUAGGUGGCAAGCGUUGUCCGGAUUUAUUGGGCGUAAAGCGAGCGCAGGCGGUUUUUUAAGUCUGAUGUGAAAGCCUUCGGCUCAACCGAAGAAGUGCAUCGGAAACUGGGAAACUUGAGUGCAGAAGAGGACAGUGGAACUCCAUGUGUAGCGGUGAAAUGCGUAGAUAUAUGGAAGAACACCAGUGGCGAAGGCGGCUGUCUGGUCUGUAACUGACGCUGAGGCUCGAAAGUAUGGGUAGCAAACAGGAUUAGAUACCCUGGUAGUCCAUACCGUAAACGAUGAAUGCUAAGUGUUGGAGGGUUUCCGCCCUUCAGUGCUGCAGCUAACGCAUUAAGCAUUCCGCCUGGGGAGUACGGCCGCAAGGCUGAAACUCAAAGGAAUUGACGGGGGCCCGCACAAGCGGUGGAGCAUGUGGUUUAAUUCGAAGCUACGCGAAGAACCUUACCAGGUCUUGACAUACUAUGCAAAUCUAAGAGAUUAGACGUUCCCUUCGGGGACAUGGAUACAGGUGGUGCAUGGUUGUCGUCAGCUCGUGUCGUGAGAUGUUGGGUUAAGUCCCGCAACGAGCGCAACCCUUAUUAUCAGUUGCCAGCAUUAAGUUGGGCACUCUGGUGAGACUGCCGGUGACAAACCGGAGGAAGGUGGGGAUGACGUCAAAUCAUCAUGCCCCUUAUGACCUGGGCUACACACGUGCUACAAUGGAUGGUACAACGAGUUGCGAACUCGCGAGAGUAAGCUAAUCUCUUAAAGCCAUUCUCAGUUCGGAUUGUAGGCUGCAACUCGCCUACAUGAAGUCGGAAUCGCUAGUAAUCGCGGAUCAGCAUGCCGCGGUGAAUACGUUCCCGGGCCUUGUACACACCGCCCGUCACACCAUGAGAGUUUGUAACACCCAAAGUCGGUGGGGU
rnacentral:rRNA from 1 species